rnacentral:rRNA from 1 species
UACGUAGGUGGCAAGCGUUGUCCGGAUUUACUGGGCGUAAAGCGCGCGCAGGUGGCGCGUCAAGUCUGGUGUGAAAGCCUCCGGCUCAACCGGAGGAGGCCACUGGAGACUGGCGUGCUCGAGGUGGGUAGGGGUCGGUGGAAUUCCCGGUGUAGUGGUGAAAUGCGUAGAUAUCGGGAGGAACACCAGUGGCGAAAGCGGCCGACUGGGCCCAACCUGACGCUGAGGCGCGAAAGCGUGGGGAGCGAACCGG